rnacentral:rRNA from 1 species
GUUGGGUAGGGGAGCGUUCUGUAAGCCUGUGAAGGUGGCCUGUGAGGGUUGCUGGAGGUAUCAGAAGUGCGAAUGCUGACAUAAGUAACGAUAAAGCGGGUGAAAAGCCCGCUCGCCGGAAGACCAAGGGUUCCUGUCCAACGUUAAUCGGGGCAGGGUGAGUCGACCCCUAAGGCGAGGCCGAAAGGCGUAGUCGAUGGGAAACGGGUUAAUAUUCCCGUACUUGGUGUUACUGCGAAGGGGGGACGGAGAAGGCUAUGUUGGCCGGGCGACGGUUGUCCCGGUUUAAGCGUGUAGGUGUGUGUUCCAGGUAAAUCCGGUUCACUUUAACACUGAGGCGUGAUGACGAGGCACUACGGUGCUGAAGCAACAAAUGCCCUGCUUCCAGGAAAAGCCUCUAAGCAUCAGGUAACAUCAAAUCGUACCCCAAACCGACACAGGUGGUCAGGUAGAGAAUACCAAGGCGCUUGAGAGAACUCGGGUGAAGGAACUAGGCAAAAUGGUGCCGUAACUUCGGGAGAAGGCACGCUGACACGUAGGUGAAGUGAUUUACUCACGGAGCUGAAGUCAGUCGAAGAUACCAGCUGGCUGCAACUGUUUAUUAAAAACACAGCACUGUGCAAACACGAAAGUGGACGUAUACGGUGUGACGCCUGCCCGGUGCCGGAAGGUUAAUUGAUGGGGUCAGCGCAAGCGAAGCUCCUGAUCGAAGCCCCGGUAAACGGCGGCCGUAACUAUAACGGUCCUAAGGUAGCGAAAUUCCUUGUCGGGUAAGUUCCGACCUGCACGAAUGGCGUAAUGAUGGCCAGGCUGUCUCCACCCGAGACUCAGUGAAAUUGAACUCGCUGUGAAGAUGCAGUGUACCCGCGGCAAGACGGAAAGACCCCGUGAACCUUUACUAUAGCUUGACACUGAACAUUGAGCCUUGAUGUGUAGGAUAGGUGGGAGGCUUUGAAGUGUGGACGCCAGUCUGCAUGGAGCCGACCUUGAAAUACCACCCUUUAAUGUUUGAUGUUCUAACGUGGACCCGUAAUCCGGGUUGCGGACAGUGUCUGGUGGGUAGUUUGACUGGGGCGGUCUCCUCCUAAAGAGUAACGGAGGAGCACGAAGGUUGGCUAAUCCUGGUCGGACAUCAGGAGGUUAGUGCAAUGGCAUAAGCCAGCUUGACUGCGAGCGUGACGGCGCGAGCAGGUGCGAAAGCAGGUCAUAGUGAUCCGGUGGUUCUGAAUGGAAGGGCCAUCGCUCAACGGAUAAAAGGUACUCCGGGGAUAACAGGCUGAUACCGCCCAAGAGUUCAUAUCGACGGCGGUGUUUGGCACCUCGAUGUCGGCUCAUCACAUCCUGGGGCUGAAGUAGGUCCCAAGGGUAUGGCUGUUCGCCAUUUAAAGUGGUACGCGAGCUGGGUUUAGAACGUCGUGAGACAGUUCGGUCCCUAUCUGCCGUGGGCGCUGGAGAACUGAGGGGGGCUGCUCCUAGUACGAGAGGACCGGAGUGGACGCAUCACUGGUGUUCGGGUUGUCAUGCCAAUGGCACUGCCCGGUAGCUAAAUGCGGAAGAGAUAAGUGCUGAAAGCAUCUAAGCACGAAACUUGCCCCGAGAUGAGUUCUCCCUGAGACUUAGAGUCUCCUGAAGGAACGUUGAAGACGACGACGUUGAUAGGCCGGGUGUGUAAGCGCAGCGAUGCGUUGAGCUAACCGGUACUAAUGAACCGUGAGGCUUAACCUU